rnacentral:rRNA from 1 species
UACGGGGGGAGCAAGCGUUGUUCGGAUUUACUGGGCGUAAAGGGCGCGUAGGCGGUCAGCACAAGUCAGUUGUGAAAUCUCCGGGCUUAACUCGGAAAGGUCAACUGAUACUGUGCGACUAGAGUGCAGAAGGGGCAACUGGAAUUCUCGGUGUAGCGGUGAAAUGCGUAGAUAUCGAGAGGAACACCUGCGGCGAAGGCGGGUUGCUGGGCUGACACUGACGCUGAUGCGCGGAAGCCAGGGGAGCGAACGGG